rnacentral:rRNA from 1 species
CAGCCGCCACGGUAAUACGUAGGUGGCAAGCGUUGUCCGGAAUUAUUGGGCGUAAAGCGCGCGCAGGCGGAUCAGUUAGUCUGUCUUAAAAGUUCGGGGCUUGACCCCGUGAGGGGAUGGAAACUGCUGAUCUAGAGUAUCGGAGAGGAAAGUGGAAUUCCUAGUGUAGCGGUGAAAUGCGUAGAUAUUAGGAAGAACACCAGUGGCGAAGGCGACUUUCUGGACGAAAACUGACGCUGAGGCGCGAAAGCCAGGGGAGCGAACGGGAUUAGAUACCCGAGUAGUCCCUGUCUCUUAUACA